UAUAUACUACUGACAAGUAAUGUAUUAAUGUCGUUUAGUGCUAUUCAGAUAAUUUAUUUGUUACCGUUUCUUUUCAUACAGGUCGAAUGGAGUACAAGUACAGAUGAAAAUUACAAAAUUACAGACAGAAGAUGUCCUAUUAUUGUCGGAUGUGUCUUUGUUGCCGGAUGAUGUCACUUUACUGCCGGCAAAUAUUCCAUCCCUGCGUGAAGAUACAUUGCUACCAGAGGUUGCACCAUCAUUAACUCAAAGUAAUCCUGCUACGAAAUAAAAUUUAACCUCUCCUGAUGACAACAGCAAUGGCAACAUUCAUUUCUGUUCCGAGGAAUCAGAGAGCGACCUCCCCGAUCUUAUCAUCGAGAAGGAUAAUGAUUAUGUCCCUUGGGACAUUCCAGGAAAUAGAUGCUUAAACAUUGCGCAUUUUAUGAAACAAAUAGUUUUAAUAGAAAUACACAGAAAUAAGUGCACCAUGGGGAAAUUUGUUGUAAAAUCAGAAAGAUGUGGACUGUAUUCAACCUGGACAUUCGCAUGUGAUACAUGCAAUGAAACCAAAACUGUCACUUCACAUGACGAGAUUCAGGCUGAAGAAAUAAAUGAUGCCGUAGUGUGGGGUGCCUUGUCGAUUGGUAUAGGUCACAGUCAAGUGGAAGAAUUACUAUCAGUUAUGGAUAUUCCAUGCAUGUAGUGUGAAAAUUUUGUAAUGCAGAAAGAGAAAAUCGGGCAGGCGUGGGAAAAACAUGUGACUUCUAAAUUUAAAAAAAGCAGGAGACGAAGAAAAGAAAAUAGCAGAACAGAAAGAACAUUUUCUGAAUGGCAUUCCCUGCAUAGCAGUAGAAGGUGACGGUGUAUGGGGGAAAAGAACCUAUGGGCAUGGCUAUAAUUCAUCAACAGGUGUUGUGAGUAAAGUAAAAUUAAUGAAACUGUAAAUAACAAUUUUAUAUAGUUAAUCAAAUGUCCAGAUUGGUAGAAAAUCUCAAUGUUACCUAUAAAAACAGUAAAACAGUAAUCAAAUUGUAAGAAUUCAACAGGCAGACAACUAGUGAAACGUGGUUUAUGUACGUCAUUCGUGGUGGUUUCUGAUUCCAUGAAUAUCAUUGUGACCGGCUUAACUGUGACUAUCAUGUAAUUGAUUAUGAUCAUAAUUGCAGUUCUGAAAGUGUACACGAAAUUGUACCAAUGAAAUCCGAGAUAUGACUAUUUAGGCACAGUAGCAGCCGCUAUAGAUCUGGGAUAGAAAAUAUCGAAUGCGAUUGCUCCCAAGGAGUUUGGGAGUUGCGGGAAUCCCAAUUCUCUUAAUUAAGAUUUUGUUAUGGCUCCUAUGAACACAGACUUCUUAAUGACAAUGCAAUCAUGAUAACACACCUGGUAUGACAGUACAUAAUAAAAAUGGUUUAUAUUGCCAUGUACUGACAGGUAAGUGAACGAGGUAAAAGAAAUUAUAAAGCAUUGGGAUACUGAAAAAAGUGAGGGAAAAGUUUUCAGGCGCCGUACAGGAUGAGACGUUAUUUAUAUGCUAACUAUGCAGAGAGAAAUCUUAAAGUCAAAAGAAUAGGGAAACAUUAACACAUGGGCCUAUCGUGACUUAUGAGGGAGUUAUGCACCGUAAGAGGAGGAGAUGGAAAACGUGUGAUUGAAUGAUAAAUUUCUCCCUUGGCCUGUUAACUUCGUUGAAAGUACCUAUUAAUUUUUUGAUUAUGAGCGCCAAUAAUACCAUUGGGAUGCAUACCAAACCGGUGUAAGAAUUCGCUUGUAAGUUCUCUGAAAUGUUGCACCAGUCUUUCAUGUGUGACGACGAACCUAAAUCAGUAUCUUGUUAGUGUUCCGAGCAUGUAAAUUGUCGCUACAAUUGGCGCCAAAUUUAAACCUUGUUCCCUAUAUGCGCCUGCCAGUGGCGGUAUAAUACUACACUAGAAAGGACUGAUACGAGAGUCCCGUAGGUUACGUCAAAAUUGCUUAGUUACAGACAACCAAAUUGGGAGUAGCAAAAUUCAGCCAACUAAAUUAUUUUGGCCGGCGCACAGUGGCUGUAUUGACUCUACACGAUGCCAAAAUUUCUCCCUGGAUUACCCGAUCACAACACUUAUUUGAUAUUCAAUAACAUUAAGUUUGGCGUAAGGAAAUACAGAUUUUUAUAAAAAUUAAGAGAAAAUUACAAUAGGCCAGAAUGUAUAAAAGAGAAGUUGGGCGCGGCGGUGAAUUUAAUUCGGCUAUUUUCCACCAUCUUUUUAAGGGCUCGGUUCAAGGUCACGGUUGUGAUUCUGUCCCGCUGGAGAGCGCUAGUAGUCGCGAUCAGUUGAACACUCGUUAUCACAGACAUAUAUUCUUCCCGGGCGCCGCUGUCAUCCGGGUAGAAGCGGGGGGGACACGAUAAUUACAACGCGGUGUUGCCAAGCGUUAUCUGACACGUGACGCUCGCACCAAGGGCUAUGGGCUACCGAAGACAGGCGGUUCCGCGGUCGCUCUGCUAGCUAUCCGAGGGCAGCUAGGCAGUGCCUUCUGCUUCUGCGUGUGCUAUUUGCUUGCUGGUUUAACCAUGGAUAUAUUGAAUAACAGUCCGUGGACCAUUUGGCCGGCUGGUGGGAAAGGCAGUCUGGUACGAUUAAGGAAAAGUUAAAUAGAAUAUUACCUACAAAAUUAUAUUAAAAUUAAAAAAAAACAACACAGAACUAAGGGCAAAAUCCUAAUAUAGUGAUUCAAGAAUUAAAACAGAAUUAUAUUUCUGUGUAUUCUCAGUUUAAAGUUAUUUCCAUAAAGGACAUAUAUAUUUAUUUCAAUGGUUUCGAUUUUGGCAAACAACAUUUUAAUAAGUUAACGUAACUUUUUUUAGUUUCCUGAUAUCAUCAUCCAAUCGGUUUUAAGUUCAAUAAAUAUUUGAUACAUUCAGCAAAAUACGUACCGUUUGUUUGUUUCAAAUGUUACUAUAUUUAUAUAAAUUUUAAAUUGUACCGUAUUAAACUAACACUGGAUUGAAAAGAAUAUGCUGUGUGACAAACAGAAAUUAUUCAGUGCAAUAUAUACUAAUGCAGGCUAAUACUUUUUUACCAAUAAUUUUUUUUUUUAUAUAUUUGAGGCCUAUUGACUCGCGUUUUGAUUAGGCUGGGACAAUAUGUUACAAAACGCAAGCAGAAUUAAUAAUAAAUAAACGACAUUUUAGCAUUUUUUCUACAGUUUAUUUUCAUCUCGUGGUUCCGGGUUAUAAAUGUCCAGAACAUUUAAUGCAAUACUUCACUUGACCCAAUAUUUUUCACCCAAUAUACAUGUAGCCCGCGAUUGCCUUGUGAUCCUUACAAUCUGGAGCCUCGCUUAUAACUUAUAUUGGACACAAAAAUAUUUCCUUCAUUGCUGCGAUGAACCUCCCCGUUUUUCACAGUCAUUCGAAAGGAAACUUGACAUUUGACUACUGUUAACGUAAACACUGCUUUAUAUUAACAUAAUUCCAUGUAAACAAUUUAGUAUUUAUAGAAAUAAUUUAGGCAUUAAAUAAAUAACGCCCAAACGCACCUCCUGUACUUUGAACCUCCGGAAAAUCACGAAUUCUACUCAUUGAAAACAGAGUCUUUACCACUCGCAUCGGAACUACACAUGUAGGUUUUAUUUAAUUCCAAUAAAUUAUUGAUAUAAACUUAACCACGCAAUGUUAUGAUUUAUUUUCAUUACCUACUUUAAUUUUCUUACUAAAUGAAUAUGACUGAAUUAAGCACAAAUAAUCAAAAACCGAAAUGUCACGUUCAUCCGACCUUUUCUUAUCCAACAUUUCGUAUUAUCCGACAUCUCAAAAAUAAAAACUAUUCUAUCGGAAACAUAAACGACAAUUUGUGUCAUAAUAAUUUUUGUUGAUCCCGACUCUAGGUAAUGCAACUUAUUAUUCAGCCAGAUAUUUUUGUUAUUUUUUGGUUGUAAAAAUGUUUAUUAGGUUUGAAAUGUUUAAAACAUUAGCAAAUUUUUACUUUUAUAAUGUUUUUAUUAGCAAUUCCCUAUUAAUCCGACAUUUUAACUAUCCGACUUUCUGCUGACCCGUUUAUGUCGGAUAAGCGAGACACUACUGUACGACAACACCGGGACGGCCUCCACUGGGUGACUGAGGGGUCCCAGUGUGAUGUGGGCGCCAGCAGUGCUGCUCCAGGGGCUGAGGUGAGCUGAGCGAGCAGGGGGCCGAGGUGGUGGACAUGCCUCAGCCUCUGUGCAUAGCCGGAGCUCUAGCGGCUUUUCCGAUUGCGUAUCCACGCCCGUGGGGGCCCGGGGCGGCAGGGCCUUAUGGCUAAGAGCGCCGGGUCAACAAAGAAAAGGGGGGAAACCCCUGAAAGGUCUAUGUACGACUGUAUAAUGAUUUUGUUAUAGGUAUUCUAUGAAACUCAAGCAAUAUUUAGUUUCCCAGGUAAACUUGUAGAGUUACAAUGUAGAUCGUAAAAAAGAAAAAAAUAUUUCUCCAUGGUGCGAUUUUGGUUUGUGAUUAUUUGAAGUAUCACAAUUGAUUUGUCUACUAUUUAUAUCAAAUAUGAUGUAUUAAUUACACUUAGCUUUAUGCUAAGUAAAAAAUUGGCAUUCCAAACAUAUAAACUCUCGUCAGUGUUGUAAUGUUACACAAAUUUAGGUAAGUAAAUAUAAAGAUUUACCGUGAUAAAUAUUUAAAUUUUUCAAACAUCAUACAUUUCACUCAUUACAAAACCUAAAUUCAAUCACAGAAUUUUAUUUAGUCUGAUAUUACAAUAAAUCCAGUUACAGCUUCCUUAAAAAAAGCAGAACGAAAAAUUGGUUGUCUGUAAAGUCGGUUUACGGACGAUAGUUUAACGUGACAACGUCAUAACAAAACAUUGAUGAAAUUAUUGAUCCAGAAGAAAAGUAAAUAUCAUAUUCGGCCUGAGACUGAGCCGUAAUAGGUUUUUGCAACCAAACCAUUUAGGCAUUAAAAAUAUUAUAUUCUUUGAGGAAGAUUUUUAUUUUUAUUUUUCUGUCUUUUGUAUAAUAAAAUCUACCUCUGCAUACAUUUAUGAAUAAAAUUGAAUCAUUUUUAUUGAAUUAUCACUAUUUUGUAUGGAUACAAAGGAGUGAAAUGAAAAGUAAAAUUUAAUUAAUAAAUUUACUUUAAUUUGCAUUCAUUAAUUCAAAUAUAUUUAUUACUUUUGAAAUGUUGCGUGCGCCGUAUUUAUUUUUACAAGUACAAAAAAAAUUCGCAGCUGCCGAGUUCGAACCGACUUCCUAUGGAUGGGAAGUUAGCCUUGCUGACCGCACGGUCACGAGGCCAUACUUCAUAACGAUAGUUUCAGUUGUUAUAUACAUAUUUAUAAAAAUUUUGUUCACGGUAGGGGAAUAAUAUAAUUUCGUUUUUAUAACACGAUUUUAUAACAAAUACGCAUUCCAAACACACCAAACUUAUUUAUAAUGUAUUACAAUAUUUUUUAAAACAUUGUGCAAAAGAUCCCGGGUGUAAUUUGAAUUAUUAUGUGUAACUGUAAAACACCAUUUUUGGUUCAAAACGUAUUUGAAUAUUCAACAUUACUUUUAAAUAACCGUACCGAUUGUGCUGAAAAUCGGUGGACGAUCGUUAAAUUACAUAAUAUUAAUAAUUCAAACUACGAAAAUAUGAUUGAAAAGUCAAAUCGAUGGUUGUUCCAAUCGAGUGGAAGAGAGAUGCCAUGCAUGCGUACAAUGAGCAUGAAGAAAGAGAUGCUACGCAUGCGUACAAUGAGCAAACAGGACACAUCCGUAGUGGGACACUUUUUCGUGCGUGCAGCCGGCGUUCAUCGAUUUAUUAGACGUUGUAACGUCAAAAUAGAAUAAUUGUGGUAAUAGUUUUAAGUUGUUUUCUAGGAAUUGUAAGAGGCCUGAAUCGGUCUGCACUUCAGAGUCAAGAUAAAUCUUCUACCUGUGUCGCUGUAGUUACUUCGGGAUCAGGAGGCUGGAAGUGGGGUCAGUAUAAGAAAUACUGGAAAAUUCGUGAACACAAUGCACAGUGAUACAAAUAAGGCCACAACUGUAAUUAAUUAAUUGCACAAGUACUGCAGUCUUCCUUACUUUACUCUCUAGUUUUGAGUCCAUUUCAAAAUCGUACUAUAUGGUAGCAACUCAAUUAAUAAACGUUACCCACUAAUUUUGUGAAGCUACGUAGUAAAUAAUCAAUAUCCAUGUUUUACUUGAGUAAGUCCCAUAAAGAAUGCAUUAUUAUUAGUUAAAAGUAAUAGGAAAUAAAUAUUCUAAAGACCAUGACGAAUUAAUUUUUUGAAUUGAAUGGUUCCUGCAGUGCACUGUCUUGUGUGCUUUUCUUGUAGGUUUAAUAAAUAUGGUAUUACAUAUGAGGGUCUGAAUAUCCUGUUUCCUUGUAAAUUUAUCCAUGAAGAACUCUCAAUUUGGCUGUUUUCAACAAUGAGGUUUGGUAAAUGCUCAUUAAAAUCUUCACAAACAGCCGAACUGUAAAAUAAAAAUAAGAAUAAAAUGUGCUUAACAAUAACAAAAUAAGAAAUUAGUACAAAUACAUAUUUUAACUUAAUGUUAAAUGCAUGACAAUUGUUAAGAAAGCAUGCUUAUUACACAGUUAUGAUUUGGCAUUUUAUUCGGAAAUAUUGUUUUCAGACAAAGACGUGUAAUGAUGCAAAAUGGUCAUAUGUUAAUGAAAUGUAUCGCUACAAAACCUCGAUAUUGUAUAAUCCUAUCAUCUUAUUAAACGUUUUUAGGGCUUAAAAAAACAAACUUUUUUAAAAAUGAUUAUUAGUUCUGAUUUUACUUAAAGAAUUUAUUAUUAAUGAAUGCUCAGGAUAACAUGCAAUAUUUUGUUCUUAUGUUGAGAAUGACAAUGGAGAAUAUUCUGUAUGAAAACUAAAAUUAUUCAUAAAAUGUUUGUUCACAUCGUAAUUAUCACUGGAGACAAGAAUGAUUCAUCUAAGUGCAUUUAAAGUAAAUCUUAAUUUCCGCAUCGUAAUAAUGUAAGAUGUAAACUAGUCCUAUUAUGUUAAAAUUUUCCGUAGCAGGUUUCCUUUAAAAAACUUACUGAGAUGUACAUCUAAAUAGCCUUAGUUAAAUAUUUAUAAUUGUUUAAUUAUUUCAUGUAUUAAAAAUAGCAAGACGAAUAGUGGAACGAUAAUAAUGCUGUGGCUAUCAGUCCUCGCGUAUCUUUAUAUUAUUACUUUUCUGUCGAGGUUUUCCCACUACUAUGCCGAAACACACAAGACCUUAAAAAUCACAGUGAAAACCUACAGCUAUAACGAACAUUUCUCUACUUCUUAAAAAUAAAAGUAACUAUUUUGUAGUGUUUUUUUUCCUGUGUAUAAAAAAAUAAUUAAGAAGUUGUGGUUCCCAGAUAAUAAUGAAAUAGCUUCACACGAAUUCUUAAUUCACACGUUUUUCCAGCUCUAUUUAAUUCUAUUUUAUCUUUUUAGCUAAUUUCCUCAACUCUUUCAGCUGUAAUAUGUAUUGCAGUUGUAUUUUGUAUGCGCUGGCUUGAAUAUAUGUUCUUUAUUGGGGUAAAUAGUUAUUUGCACUGAUCUGACCUGAAGAAUAAAAUUUAGAAUACAUGUAGAUUUUAAAUGCUCAGGCACAUUAUAAAAUGUUCAUAAACUAAUUCUAUCAGUUAAAUAGUUCGUUCAUAUUUAUCUUUUUCAAAUACAUGGUGAACAGCGUGCGUUGUGGAUGUAAUAAACAACAUUUAUUAUUUUAUUUAACAGUCUGAAAUCAAUGAUGGAAAUAUUCAGUUUACCUAUCUAUUUACAAUAUUAAAUGAGUUGUUCUAUUUAACUUGCUUUACAUGUCAUUUAAAUGUUCAGUAUUUUGAAUAUAUAUAUAUAUUCAUAAAUUAAGAGGUAAAAAAAAUCGCUGCUACAAUAACUGUCCAAGCAAUGUCACAACGACUCAUCCAUCUAGUUGCUCACUCAAUGGUCCUCAGAAAAGCACUGUUCACCGUAGCUAAAAUUGCUAACAGCUCGGCUGUAAGCAGACUAUUACCAAGAUAACGACUGGACAUUGAGUCAGAAGUUCUUUGAUGUGGUAAUGCACAACUUCGCGAAAAUUCGCCCGCUAAGAAGUUUGGCGCAAAUUAUACUGAAGAUUAUAGGAGAAAAUAAACGUAAUUGCAGUUACUAAGUGACCACUUUACUACAUAAACCUAAAUGUAAUUGAUAUAUAUAUAUAUAUGUUCCAGCCUCAUGAACCAUCUAAAUUAACUUACAAUUAACUUUGUUUAACAUAGGCAUAAUCAAUGGCUACCAUAUCAAAAUUAUUUUCAAGGGCCUGUCGAAUUACUACAAUUUCGUAAAUAUAGUUUGUAAAGAAAAAAUAUUUUUUCCUGUUGUUCGAAUCAAAUACAACCAUGUUAUAAAAAGAGCAACAUAAUAACAUUGUGCGUAUUAUAAUUGUAGUCAUUGGCAUGAUGAUAGUAUUACAUUCUCUUGUAAGUAAGAAAUUGUUUAACUGAUAACAAUGUAUUAAUAUCCUACUUAGUAAUAUUCAUUUUAAAACAUCCAAUAUUUCAACUCCAUUAAUUUCAGCACCGACUAGUUUUAAAAACUUUGAUACCUUAUUUUAUUUUACAAGUUCCCGUGUGCCGGCGGGUUUGUUAGGGCUCGGCGUAUCAACUACCUAAUCUUAGGAACACUAAUGCCUAAAUUUAUGGGCCAAUAAAUGCAAGACAAUGGCCGCGAAAGCCGGCGGAAUCUUUAUUACUAAUGCCUAAAAUUUAUUUCAAAAUCUCUGAUCCAGAUUUAGACGUCCAUAGGUUUUUUGAUAGUUUAAAUAGUUUCAUCGCAUUUUUAUGCAGUAAUUGAGCUUAGAUAGUUUCUUGUGAAAUUGUUGCUUUUCAACGCUCGCUCUUUACGUCUGCCAGUCCGGGGCGGAUGGACAAAGAAAUUAUAUAAAAAAAUUAUAAAGUUUUACAAAUAUUCAUGACACACCCGGAAUUCUGAUCCAAAUUCCUUCCAAAGGUACAUAGCGACUUCAGCUACUGUCACCUGAAAAAAUACUGUUGAAUAUCGCAUAGAGUGGUCAUUUCAUGUUGCACAUUUAAACGGUAUUGCUUGCAAUCUUUUAAAAAGGCUUGCUGAAUUUAUAGGCAGGCAAAAUAAUAAAACUUUAAAAUGUGUAUUGUAUUUCUUGUAAGGCAGCAUGUACCAUACACAACCUAUAAAGCCAAUAAAAACAUUUUACAAAUGAAUAAUAUAUUGAUUUCCCGCUGGAAAUCUUUAGCCCUAAGCCGGUUGUACACUACAGAAUUAUAUACUGUACUGAUGUGUUGCUUUAAAAAGCAUACUCUAGCCGUGAAACCCAUAAAAAUCAUAUGGACGAGUGGCCGCUAUGCGCGUUAGAAGUGAUGUAUCAAUAUAUGUAAGUGAUAGGGGAAUAAUAAUGUCUACGAAUGUGUGGAUUGUCUGCAAGUAUGCAAGUGAGCAAGUAGACAAAUGCGCAAGUAUUCAACUAAGCGAGUGUGCUAUAAUGCAAAAAUUUCAUUGAGCACCUCACUCCUGAGCCCCGUUCCCCUAUCCUCCUUCGAAUACGACACUGUUGAUAGUUAGUUACCCUGUAAGCGUUACGCUUUUGUUAUGCUGAUUACAACAUCGCCUCAUCUUACUUUACCAGCUGUAAAAAGGUUACAAAUAAAUUUUCUUAAAAUAAUUGUUGCAUCAUAUAAAUAUAUACCAUUUACUUUGACGUUUAGAUGCUAGAAGAAGCUUCAUUCGAUUUUUCAUGGACUUUCUACGUUGAGAUAAAGGUCGCGAGAUCUUGGAACACUUACGCCAAUUUCUUCCCAUGGCUGGAGAAUUGAACCGAGGAACAAAAUCACUUGAAGUGUGGGUUUACUGUCGCGUGGCAGCUGAUGAUAAGGGGAGGGUGAGGGGGAGAUACGCGAAGUGGCAACCAGGCCGUUCCUUCUCUCAUUCCACGCGGCCCUUAUCUCUUGUCCGCCGCCGGCGGGGCACGUCAUAUUACCAGCGUGCAUUGCAGCCUAUACAUCAGGCACUUCCACAAUAUUAAUUUUAAAAAAUUAGUGUUGCUUGUAUAUUUAACCAGAUACAUUGCCAAAGCCAAGGACUUUUCGUGAGAUUGAGAUAUGACCAACGUUGUUACGAGAUGAUUAAGGGGGUAGAACAUAUUGACUGAUAAUUGUGACAAAAUUAAAACUUAAUUUUACAAUAUCAAACUUAAAAACUUAAAUUAAAUUAAAAUUGUUUUCGUAGAAACCUGUAUGCUUAUAAUAUCUACAAUUUGGUGUUUGUUUUAGUUUUCUAUUACAAUAACUGACGGAAUCGCGUGCAUUUAAGUUUAACCUGUAAAUCCCUAUCCCGCCAUUCGGCUAGCAUGGGAGUGAACCGAGCCCUUAAGGACUCCAGAAGAAAAUUUUACAGUCAAAAGUAAUUCUCAUAAACAAAUACAGAAUCUUUACUAAAACCUUGGAGCUUAGAUUGCAAAGGUGUCAGAGCCGUGCACUACGUAGGUCAUGCCACUCCAGAAAUGACCCCAGUGUAUGUAGACACGUUCACGGGAUGCAGAGCUGUUUACAAACCUAUACUAAUCAAUCCACUGUAGUUCUUAUUGUCGGUUAGAGUCUGGUGCCAUCCGAGUUUACUUACACCAAUUGGCUUUGUAGACCAAAGCCGUCAUUUGACGCGAAUACAAAAAAAAAUGUUUCAUCCCUUGAUUAUUUGAUGUCUCGCCUACGUCAUGAGAUGAGAAGCUCCGUUAGCCUCGGUAAUACUCAAAUUGUAAGACUAGUUUUACAUUGAAUUUAAAAGGAAAAAUAAUGCUUUUUAAUUUUUAUUAUUAUUAACAAAUAAGUAACUUUUAUAAAAAUGUUUCAUUAGAUUUGAUUUUUUUAAAAAUAUUAACGCCAAAGACAUCACAAUUUACCUAGAAUGACAUAUUAUCAAGUGAAAUACAUUGAUAUUGUUGAUAGUUUCUGCCAUGACCUGCUUCUUAAAACAAUAACCUUCUUUUAAAAACAUGUGGUUUUUAGUUAUCCAAAGAAAACACAAAUCAUCUCACAUUGUAAUAGUUCUUUGAAUGUAAUUUUUUUAUAACACUAAUUAGACCAUUUCAGUACAUUUGUAUUACUUUGCAGGCUAUUCUUAUCGGACUGGAAACGCAGAAGAUACUUUACCUGGGCAUCAGAAAUAAAUACUGUAGUAUAUGUUCGAUGGCCAAAUCAAGGCAGAAAACUAUCCCAGAUCAUGUAUGCUAUAAAAACCAUACCGGUCCUUCCACAGCCAUGGAGAAAGAUUUGAUAUGCGAAGGGUUUAUUCUGGGGGACUUUCAUUGUGCAAUUACAAGGAAACAAUUGCUAGCGCAGACAUUACUUAUCGCUGUCUAAUGUGCAAUAUAAUAAUUAGGUACGAAGUUUUAGUGAGGUCUUCUUUACCUCAUACAUACUGUGCGUGUAUCAAUCCUCUUACUUGGAAGAAUUUGUUUCAUUUUAAAUGUUAAAAGUUAAUGUAAUCACUUUAAAUAAAAUUCUUCAACUUGCUUUCUAACGUUAUAAGACUAUAUCAUACGGGCAAUGCUCUAAACAAAGUGUGCUCUUAAAUAUCCAACAGUACAAAAUUUUACCCACUAUUAAUUUCUUCAUAAGAGCAGUCAUUUGUAGAAGAUAAAAAAAGGCUACAUUAAGUGUGUUAGCAUAUUUUAGAAUGUUUAAAUCAAAUUGCAAUAUAUUAUCUUGCAAACGGUUGCCAAUUACAAGGAAACAAUCGCUAUCGCUGUCUGUGCAAUUUAAUAAUUAUGUAUGAAGUUUUAGUGAGGUCUUCUUUACCUCAUACAUUUGCCAUAUAAUUCACACACAUAUCAUUCCAAAUCGUUUGAUUUUCUUUUCAUACGUUAACGGAAUAUCUCUUAGACCAACAGAAAUUAUAAGUAUGGAGAUAAUUCUCACAUAUUGCGCAUCCACAAGUGAAAUAUAUAUAAUUUUAUAUCUAUUGAUGUUAAAACAAACAAAGAGAUAACAUCAGUUUUAAUAAUUUGGAUCAUGUUUAGCAGCAAGCUACAACAUAUACAAAUAUUUUCAGACAUAAUUUUUAGAUAAUAUUUAGGUUUAAAAAUCUUUUAAAUUGUUUUGUUAUAGUAAUGAAUAUUUUUGAUUUUCAAACCAUAUUUGUUCCAACCUCUUGCGCUGACAGUGGUUGUUAUAAAAAAAAAACCUUGCAGACAAAAGUACUACUCUUAGGAUGUACAAUAAAUUCUAACCCCUUGGUACGAUUCUCCUAUUAACGAAUUUGAUCGAGAUUUUUCUUCACUAGAUUCUAUGUAUCAGACUGGAAGUAAUUAAUACAAUAUUACGCAGUAUUAUGCCCAUUAUAAAGUUACAUACGAAAAAAAAUAAAAUUUAUGUUUACACUUUUGAGUUGACAAAGCUUAAGAGAUGUCAGGGUCAUAAAAAAAAUAACGUAACAAUUUUCCGGAAUUCCCAACAUGGUAACCACUACAAAAUGUAAAACUUUAUCAGUAAUAUAAUUAAUAAAGAUAUUCAUUGCUUCAAAAAUCUGGCGAAGAGACAAAAAUUUAGCCAAAUAAUGUUUUCAAGUUAUUUUUAUACAUGUAGAUGAAGCGUCAGAGAAUCUACAGAUAAUUCGCUGUGAAAGUAAGGCAUUAUCUGCGAGCCUUGCAACUGGCAAAUAUAAAUCUGCGGUCCUUGCUGACGUCACGCGCCGAACCCGACAGCGGACAACCUGCACCCGGCGAGGAGUGAGAUCUGAGCUGUCUGCCACUUCCUCCCCCCACCCCAUACAACGCGCCCGGCUAGGAAUGAGAUCUGAGCUGUCUGCCACUUCCUCCCCCAGCCCCCUGGGAUGGCCCACAAGCCGGCGCGACUACCUGCUGCAAACAGUUAGCCAUUCCUCCGCUAGGAGAGCUAGGGGCGAUUUUCUUUCGCGCGUCGCCCUACCCGCUGUACGGAGCCGAGCGACAUAACCUUCCCCUUUGAAGCCUUCAUCUCGACUGAAUACCCAGCGGCGCGACCCUGAGUCUUAUACAGCGCUCUUAAGGGGUUCAGUGAUCAGUUUUUAUGCUAUUGUGAGUGAUGUAUCAGUUUAAAGUCAUUCCGAAGUGGGGACGAUUUUUCGACCACUUGAACAGCCUUAAGGUGGGACAUCCGGGCACACUUUAGCAAGCUGUCGCAGUGUCUGAGGAACGUGUUGCGAGGGGAAGUGGAAAACCCGAACUCUUAGCUACCCCCACUACUAGCCGCCGGGGGUGGUGGAUGGAGUCGCUGAUUGCCACCCCAAACCGGUUAUUCUUUAGGUGUUAGGGGGAGGGGGAAGGGGGGUUGCGAAGGAGGCCGUGUGGUAUUUGGCGUGGACUCGCUCUUCCUCUGUCCCCUAACCUGGAGGAGACGCGGAGUCAUCCCUUGUUCAUAGGCCAGUGACCUUGAAAGCGCUACGUCAAUAACUUGACCGUGAAGCGUUUACUUGCAAACUACUGGUCAACUGUCAGUGAGCAUUUAUCGUACACAAAAUAUGUACCAGUUUUGAAAUAAAUGUUUAAUUAACAUCGAUAAAAAAAUUAUUUAUUUAAUUAAUUAUCUUGAAAACAUGCUUUGCAGCUCAUAUUCGUGCGGACAAAAGUUAUUUGUUUAGGGUGAUAAGUAAAUAGUAUGAUUUUGAAUGCAACGCGCAAAAUAUUAGGUAAGUUAAUAACCGAAUCUCUGCCUUAAUCGACUGUCGAGACCUCACUAUUGAGGAGCCGUAAAACUCUCUCAUCCUAACCAUUUAGUUGCUCCGAUAUCAUCGCUAGGUAUUUCAUAUACAUAAAAUAAAAUUGAUAAAAUGAAAGUGUAAACUGAAGUUAAUGUUUAACUUGUAGGAAAUAAUCGUGUGAAUACCUGAAACAAUAAUUACUUAAUCAUUUGUAUCAGCAACAAAACCAGUUGUUUUUACGUGCAUUCAUUUUUAUCUGCAGCUUUCUGUGGUAGGCAGAGUAGUAAACUGGCAUUUUUGUACUGUAUCGUAAGAGUACUUGUCGGCCACGUCUGUUGUACUAUAAGCGGUAGGUUGUAGUCAGGCUUUGAUCUGUACUCGCCCUGAAACUGAAUACAAAUUUAAAGACGAGUUUGACCAUUAGAUACAAUUAAAUGUAAUUAACCGAACUACCUAUUUUCAUAUUUAUUUUCCUAAUAAACUCACAUAGAUAUCCUAUCAAUUUGGUUGGAAAUGUAUAGGCUAUUGUGUGUACCUUGACAGGAAUCUACUUCUCAAAAGUUAGUUAAGUUCUGGUGCGGUAAGAAUAUUUUAGUGUUCGACAUUGUAUUUCAUGACAAAACAUAUCAAAUUAAUUCGUUUCAGUAGGUAGCAAAACAUUUGAUGUAAACAUGGAAUACGAAGAAUCACCAACUGCAAACCAUUCGAUAAAUAAGUUAGUAAUAAUGUUCACUCAUAUUGUAAACAUGAUUGCAAAUGCAGUGUAUCUCAAGCAUAGGAUCGUAGAUAUGAUGCUUGGCAAGUUCUUCAGAGGUUUAGCGAGCUGUUUGAGAUAGGUAAAAUACUGUUUCAUUCAUAAUACGAAACAGUACUUUACAUAACAAUAACAGGGUAAUUAUACGCUGUUAAUUGUUAUGAUUAGUGCUCGUUUCAGCUAAUUAUAAUAUUUAAUCAUGGGAAUUGUUUGCAGUCUGGCAAACCUUUACACCUCUAUAAAACAUUUUUCAUACAAACAAAUAAAAGUAACAAAAAACUAUAUCAAUGUAGCAACUAAAUAUUUUAUUUGGUAUUGUACAUAUUAAAACUCACCUGCCUGCAAUUUUGUUGACAGAAACGAAAUCAUUGUUAACAUUAAUUCUCACAGCAUAUCUCAGUUCCUACUCUGUAUUUUAAGAUUCGUUGGUGUCGUGUCAAAACCGAAAAUAAUUUAACUUAUACUUUUAAUGACAAUGAACCUAAAAAAAUUCGACUGAAACGCUUCAUUGUGUUCAUUUCUCAAAGAAAGUAAAGGAACACUGUAAUAAACUCAAUACAAAUACAUUCAAGGCGAAGAUAUUACACUUGUACAGUUUUCGAGAAAACUUUAAAACGCAAACAGUAGCCUAUAUUGUAAAUUUCAUUUUACUGUUUUCUUUCAAAUCGGAUUUUCCAUAGUAGCAAAUUUUUAAAUGUCGAUAACUUAUGUCAAUGUAGGGUUAGGCCUAAAUGAUGUAGGUUUGGCCUAAUUAAUAUAGGCUAAUUUGUAAAUUAACAAAUUUUGAAUUCGUCAAACAUUUUUCAUUCAAUAAUCAGUUAAAAUCAUGGUUUAAUAUCAUGAAAGAAUAGGACAAUUUAGUAAAACUAAUUGAGAACAACAUGACCAAAAAUAAAUUUUCAAUACCGUCUGCUAUGAAAUACCCCAAAAAAUUUUGAUAUUUGAAGAUCAUUGCCUUAAAAAAAUCUUGCAACUCGUAGUUACAAAAUUCUGUAAUUUUAAAUAAUUAAUGAUUUUUCGUUUAUACUAUUUUUUUUUUAGUAUAACACAUCCUUUCCGAAACAUUAGAAAAAUAAUCUACAUAAACCGUAAUUUGUUGGAGCAUAAAUUAAAUUUGUAUUUAGUCAUCGUUUCAAUACAUAUUUACAAAAAAUAAUACAAACUCUGGCAAACACUGGAGUACUGUAUAAAGUAAUUCAGUUUGCACAGUGUACCUAUAUAAACAUAUAACAGUAAGAAAGUAUGCACACCUAAAAAUAAAACUUUUAAAUUAUUACCUUUAUUUAUGAAAACCUGUCACUAUGAAAUAUAUCUCACCAUAAUCAAAAAUAUAGUUUUUUGUUGUGUUUUGUUUUACUGAACUCACUGCUGAUCCUGUGAUGAUCUUGAAAUUGCUGGGCACUGCUUCCCCGCAUUCAGUAUGUAAUCAGGAUUUCUUAUUGGCAUAGAACGUGUGUAACUAGGGUCAAUUAUCUCUGGUAAUAGACAAUCCAUGUAAAAAUUAGCAAGUUUAUCCUUCAUUUCUUUCUGCCAGUAAUUGUCGUCCCUUUAUCCUUUAUCCUUUGAUAAUACAUACCCUUCCUAGUCCAGACAAUGUAUGUGCAAUAAUUUAUUUUUGUAAUGUGUAGUUGUCCCUGUACUUGAAAAAAAAUGAUCAUGGUUUUUGUUGAGUACAAUUUUUCCAUCUUGGCACUUAAAUGAUUUCAUCUUUCCCUGAGCUAUCGCAUCUUUUAAAUGUAAGUCUGCUGAAGAAAAUGCGCAUUUAACUUCCACUAUACCAUCAUCAUCUAUGAUACCAUCUGGAGUGGCUCCCAAAAAUUCCAGUUGCUCGUCCACAAACAGACCACAUGGACGAAUAUAUAUUCCUAAAGAAUUAUGCAAAUCUUCUAGUGCUACUUUCUCUUUUUCUCGACUAUGCAUGAUUGCUUCAUUCCGUAGAGAUGUUCCGUACAAAAUACUUUUCACAAGCGAGUCACAUUUCGUUGUUUUGUGGUGUUUACAAACUGACCCAAAAUGUGAAGCAGUGAGUAGUUUUCUUCGUUCUUGCAACCACACUCCACUCCCACUUUGAAGUACUGUAAUUUUUUCUAAGUUUUUUUUCUUUGUUCAUCACUUCUUCUCAGUGAAUCAAGAAAGAAAGAGCGUUCUUUCUCAAACUCUUGAUCAUCCAUGUCUGGUCGUUGUGCAUUUGGUCCAUAAAAACUAUCUUUGUCACAAAAACCCGAAAACAACUUCUUCGAGCAUUUCUUGGACUGCUUUGGAUAGUUCUUCUGCACGUUUCUUCAAUGUCUCUUCAAAUCUUUCCUUCGUUUCCUUUUAAGUUGGACGUUUUUACAGAAAAAUCAGGACUUCUGCCAUACAUUUGCUUGUGUAUCGUGUAGUGAGCUGUUCCUGUGUUAUGCUGUACUACUGCUCCAGCACAUCUUGUUUGGUAACUAUUUCCUGUACAAAAGUUGAUUCUUUUCCCUCCAGUGUAUUUGGAAAUGGAAGAAUUGUACUGUUCAGCAGCAUUGUUGUCCAUACAGUAUAGAAAACUACGAGUAUUCCUGGCAAUGUGUUUUGCUGCCAACAUAACUUUUUCAAACAGUCCAGGGCUUAUCAAAUCAUUGAUAAUGGAGCUUUCUUCUGUUUUUGCAGCAUCACAGAAAUACCCCCGUUCUGCACAGUUACUAUUGCUCCCAAAUACAUAAUUUGGCCCAUUCAAUAUAUCCUUUCUUAGCUCGGAAAUGCUUAGCUCAAUAUCAUCUGUCAUGGUCUUAUUCCUGUAUUCUGCAGCCUUCUUCACUGCCAUUCGAAGUCGCAAAAUAGAAUUUCCAAUUUUCUUCCUAAGACAAAUAGGAUAACGGCCUCCAUCACUUGUUGCUGCAAUGGCUCUUAAUUUUUUACAAUAAUUCCUUAAAAGUGGUUCGAGCACUCAAUUUUUUCUACAGUCAAUGAUUUGUUUGGUCUUGCAUCUAGAAUAUUUUUAUAUACACUGCUGUCUCCAUCAGCAACAAUUUUAGCGUAUCUCACCGAAUACAUUGCCUCACUUGCAAGAAAACCUUCAAGAAUGAUAGCCGAUUCCAUGCUUGUUGAUGUUUGGUGAACACCCCAGUUCUUACUACAAGCAUGAUCGGCAGCAGUUGCACCUUUCUUCUCUGCACGAUCGCAAAUCGUGCAGUAGGCCUACUUGUUUUUCACCCCAAUGAAGAGCACCUUCUUCGUGUAGUAUCCAACAAUAGCACCCUACAAAAAAAGUUAUACUUAGUUGUCGAUCAAUAUAACAAGAACAAACGACAAAAAAAUAUAUAUAUAAAGAAAAAGUUUGUACGUUGCAAAUUAACAUUUCAAUAGUAUUUGUACAGAAAACAGUUAAAUAAAAAAUAAAA